CUACGGGGUGCACCAGUGAGGAAUAUUGCGCAAUGGAGGAAACUCUGACGCAGCGACGCCGCGUGGAUGAUGAAGGCUUUCGAGUCGUAAAAUCCUGUCAGAUGGGAAGAAAUGUUUAUAUGCUAAUACCAUAUAGAUUUGACGGUACCAUCAGAGGAAGCACCGGCUAACUCCGUGCCAGCAGCCGCGGUAAUACGGAGGGUGCAAGCGUUGUUCGGAAUUACUGGGCGUAAAGCGCGCGUAGGCGGUCUGUUAAGUCAGAUGUGAAAGCCCAGGGCUUAACCCUGGACGUGCAUUUGAUACUGGCAGACUUGAGUAUCGGAGGGGGUGGUGGAAUUCCCGGUGUAGAGGUGAAAUUCGUAGAUAUCGGGAGGAAUACCGGUGGCGAAGGCGACCACCUGGCCGAAUACUGACGCUGAGGUGCGAAAGCGUGGGGAGCAAACAGGAUUAGAUACCCCGGUAGUC
rnacentral:rRNA from 1 species